AGAGAGAGAUCCAUUUACAGGUCACACUUGGCAGAGGCAGGUGAUGACAUAAGCUGCUGCUGGAGUCGAUGAAGGCAGGCAGGUUGGCAGAGAGCCUAAAUUAGCAAUUACAGUAGUGGGACUUGUUUAAAGGUAAAACCAAUGAUCUAUCUCAUUGAGGUAGUACAUUUCUCAAGUGACAGUCAAGAAAUGAUGGAGGCUGGAGAGAUGGUUUGGGGAUUAAGAAUGCUUCCUGCUCUUUCAGAGAACCCAAGUUCAGUUUCCAGCACCCACGUCAAGCAGCUCACAACCACAACAGACACCAGGGACUCUAGAGCCCCCCAAUAAUACAUAGGCACACAUAUAUACACAUCCUUUACAGUUUUUAAAAAGAAAUAAUACAUGCUGGCUGAGGAUGUGGCUCAGUUGGUAGAGUGUUUGAACAUCAUGCACAAAGCCCAGCACAGCAUCUAACCUGGUACCGUGGCACGUAUCUGAAAUUCCUGCACAUGGUGAGUAGAGGCAGGAGGUUUGGGAAUUCAAGCCUAUCCUUGACUACCUUGUGACCCAAGCCAGUCUGAACUACAUGAGACUCUGUCUCAAAAACCAAACAAGAAUAGAGAAGACAACUUUGAAGCAAUUGAGGAGAUUUAAAGGGUUGUGGUUUUGUUAUUAGUGUUUGUUUUUGGAACCCAGGGACAGGGGACUAAGAUGCAUAUUUUAUACCAAAGCAGGCCUGGCCUCCAGGUUCUCCCAGCAUCCCUUAGUCCCUACCUGGCAUAUCCCAAACCCGACCACAACCCCAACCUGGUUGCCCUUCUCUUCUCUCUACCUGCAUAUUCUUUCUCUCCCCCUGCCCCUUGCCCAUGGUGAUUUUCUUAGGGGGCCAGUGAAUUCACCGAGAGCAGCUUCCCAAUAAACCUGCCCUUAAUAUAAUCUAUUCUGGCUUAAAUUGGUGGUGGUGAAGAAAUGGCUUGUCAUUAGGUAUGUUUUAAAUUCUUCCAAUGAACUAAGUUUCUAUGCUAAGUUCUUGUAGAAGAAACUAUAUAAUGUCUAAUAAUCGAUUUAAAAUACUGCAAAAAAAACCCUAUUGAACAGAGAAUUUUAAAUGAGAGUUUAAGGUAGUUAAUAGGUCAGUGGUUGCACUAGACUGUUCUGUUUCUUUUGUAUGUCUGAACUUUCCAUGAUAAACCCCUAAGGUAAAAAUUUAAUGAGUGAAACAUGGAAUCCGGAUGAAGCAAUUUCAGAGUGUUGUGAGGCAAUAGACAAUGGAGCCAGCAAACAGAAAAAUGGGUCCCUCUUGUGUAAUUUGUACCUAGAACUUAGGACGUUGGUGCCAAGUGGGAGUGUUGUCUACUCACGAGGUGAACAUUGGACAACUACUAACUUGGAGCUUUCAAUCAUUAAAAAGUUCCCCUUUCCAGAAAGUACCAGAAGCCGCCAGCUAUAUGAGUAGAUAGUACAGACUUCUUGGGCACACAGAGGAUCAACACAUCUAAUAAUCACAACUCCAGCCGAGUAACAGGACAAAGCUCCUUGGCAAAGGUUUUCUUUCCCCUCCCUCUCCUUCCCUUCCUUCUCUCCCUUCUCCUUCCUUUUCUGAUCGUGUCUUAUCAUGCAUCUGGGGCUUCCCUGGCCCUUGUUAUGUAGCCCAGACUGGCCUCAAACUCAUGAUCCUCUUGCCUUGGCCUCAAGUACAGGGCUCACAGGCCCUCACCACCUUUGGCCACAGCAUUUAUUUAAGGGGGGGGGUGAUUCAAGCCAUGGAGAAUCUGCUGUCAACUACUGACAUGCGUUGAAAAAGCAUAAUAAAAUUAAAACGUUUACGUGUAUUAGUGAAUCAUCAACAGUGAAAAUUAUCCAACUCAAGGUGUAGAUGGUACUAACUGAUCAGUAGAUUACAAUUCAAUUCAAAAGAUUGGGAAGAGCCCGGAGCUGAACCAGGAGAAGCCACAGGACAUGUCACGGCUUUGAGAGGCAGGCCCUAAGAAAAGGUGCAGCUUUCUGAGCACAUCAAAUGUCAAAGAGUGGAUGGAGACCAAGUCCAUCAAUUAGAAGAUAAGUCUCAAAUGGAGAACCGGUGCCUCCCCAAGAAAGUUCCAGGUUUCUGUUCCUUUCGGUAUGGACUGGCUAUCCUUUUGCACUUCUGUAACAUUGUCAUCAUGGCUCAGCGAGUGUGCCUGAACCUCACAAUGGUAGCCAUGGUGAAUAAAACAGAGCCACCCCAUUUAUCUAACAAGUCUGUAGCAGAGAUGCUGGAUAAUGUAAAGAACCCUGUGCAUUCCUGGAGUCUUGAUAUUCAAGGGCUUAUUCUCAGUUCUGUCUUCUUGGGUAUGGUUGUGAUUCAAGUUCCUGUUGGGUACCUAUCUGGAGCAUACCCAAUGAAGAAAAUAAUUGGGUCUUCAUUGUUCCUCAGCUCUGUGCUGUCCCUGCUCAUCCCACCAGCUGCACAAGUCGGAGCAGCUUUGGUCAUUGUAUGCCGAGUACUCCAAGGAAUAGCCCAGGGAGCAGUGUCAACAGGCCAGCAUGGAAUAUGGGUCAAAUGGGCACCUCCCUUGGAACGAGGCAGACUUACCUCUAUGACUCUAUCAGGGUUUGUAAUGGGACCAUUUAUUGCCCUGCUUGUGAGUGGCUUCAUCUGUGAUCUUCUGGGUUGGCCCAUGGUUUUCUACAUCUUUGGUAUUGUUGGGUGUGUUCUGAGUCUUUUCUGGUUCAUCCUUUUCUUUGAUGACCCCAACAACCACCCAUAUAUGAGCAGCAGUGAGAAGGAUUACAUCACAUCCUCUCUCAUGCAACAGGUGCACUCGGGCAGACAAUCUCUGCCAAUCAAAGCUAUGCUUAAGUCUCUUCCACUCUGGGCCAUUAUCCUCAAUAGCUUUGCUUUCAUAUGGUCGAACAAUCUUCUGGUUACAUACACGCCAACAUUUAUUAGCACCACGCUUCAUGUUAAUGUUAGAGAGAAUGGGCUGCUGUCCAGCCUCCCCUAUCUGCUUGCCUACAUCUGUGGUAUCGUAGCAGGUCAGAUGUCAGACUUCCUCCUGUCAAGGAAGAUUUUCAGCGUAGUUGCUGUCCGGAAACUCUUCACCACACUAGGGAUUUUCUGUCCUGUGAUUUUUGUCGUGUGCCUGCUCUACCUGAGCUACAACUUCUACAGCACCGUCAUUUUCCUUACACUUGCCAACUCGACACUUAGCUUUUCCUUCUGUGGACAACUUAUCAAUGCCUUGGAUAUUGCUCCCAGAUAUUAUGGAUUUCUAAAGGCAGUCACAGCUUUAAUUGGAAUAUUUGGGGGCCUAAUUUCUUCAACUCUUGCUGGGUUGAUCCUUAAUCAGGAUCCAGAAUAUGCUUGGCAUAAAAACUUCUUCUUGAUGGCAGGCAUUAACGUGACAUGCCUGGCUUUCUACCUUCUGUUUGCAAAAGGAGAUAUUCAGGACUGGGCUAAAGAAACAAAAACCACACGGCUGUGAAGGAUGCAGCCUCAACACACAGUACUGAGUGUUCUCGUGCCCUUGAGAGUGGACCUACAAAAGGCUGUAGCUGCUCAGAUAUUCUCACAUACAUUUCCCAGGGCAGAGCAGGGCAGAGGAAGGUGGCAUGUGAGCACCUGGCAGUCAUGUUUAUUUUUAUGUCCACAGGGAAGUCAUGUGAAGAUGGCCUUGAUGACCUCUCACUGAUGACUUGAGAAAGAUCUUUUAGCCUACACAAAUGUCUUUGAAGUGUUGGAGCACUCUCUGGGUGCAAGGACUCUCCAGUGACAUCUCUGUCUUUUGUUUCCUUUUUCUACAAAAGUUAGUAGAAGAGUGAGCACCUGAGAAGCAUGAGGUCAGCAUCCAUAUUGAAAGGAAGAGGAUUCUGUGUGGGACUGCAGUCAUGGGAGUCAUGAACACCUGAAGACCGGUAGCCUGAAGCUUUUAAGGGAGUCAUUGCCUCCCACUUUAGUCUGAGUGAUUCUUUUGCACUGUGUAUUGUGUGUAACAAGUUAUACUUCUGACUUUAAAGAGGAAUCUGUCUGUCUUCCUAUGAUCCAAUAAACAAACAUAAGCCAAAACUUUACUCCACUACUUUAUGAAAAGGAUGGUCCAUUUGGAAAGAAAAUAUAAAAAAAAUUGUUUUCCUCUUCAAUGGGCUCAGGGAGAAACUCAAACUUGUUAUAUGCAGAACCCGAAGAUGAUUGAUUAGCAAACAAAAAAUAGGGAUUGACAAGGUCAAUCAGUCAAGAAUAUUAACUGUUCUUCCAAGGACCUAGGUUUGAUUCCCAGCAAGUACAUGGCAACUAACAACCAUCAUCCGUCUUCUGGCCCUUAUGGGCACUGCAAACACAUGGUGUCUAGGCAUGCAUGCAGGCAAAAGCCUUGUAUGCAUAAAAUAAAAAUAGGCAAAUUUCAAAAACGAAAAAAGAAAAACAACAACAAAAGAAAUGCGAGAGUCUUGGGAGGAAAAAGGAUGGAUUAAUGAAGAACUUGGAUAGCAAACUCUGGACCUUAAUGAGACUUGGGUCAAUUCCAGGAUUGCCAAAGAAAGUGAUGGUGUCACACCUAAGUUCCUGACACCAAAGAAGAGUCUGUAGGCUCUGGAAUCAAGGCGUAUAAAUUUGGGGCAAAAUUUGUAGUAUACAUGUUGGGGACCAGCUGUGGCUCUGAUGUACUGCUUUCUCCCUUAUGAUGUCCUGGAGCCCCUACACCCAGGCUGGAAGGAUGAAGUGGAGUCUGGAACUGGUGAGGUUUGCAGGAUCCUGGUCCAUCUGGGAGUGAGUGCUGGUGAGGAAAAGGGCUUCUCCGAGGAUUUUAAGGAAACAGCUCUCUUAAACUAUCUUUGUGCACAUAUCUUUAUUCAGGUUGGGCUUAUAUGCAUGUACUUUAUUCAGGGUGGACCGAGCUAGAUAUGAAACUUGGAGAGUGGAAAGGAGUUUUCAGGGAUUGUAAAAUCAUUGGUUAGAAUUUAAAGUACUGGGACUCCCUCAUUUGCAUGGAGAGGCAUGGAGAAUCCUAGGUGCUUGCUGGGUGCCUUCUUAUCCAAGAAAGAGAAGUUGAACUUCUAGGUCUGCCAAGGACUAUUUGACCAUCCCCAGGGAGAGGGUAUGGGGGGGGGGGGUUGGGCUCACCAGACAAGGCCAGAGAAAAGAAGCCCUGCUGAUAAAGAGAGUAUUCCAUUUUGCAUGUAGCUCAAAGAAGUUAUUGGAACAUGGUAGACUGGAAUCUUAAUUACCAGGGUUUCCACAAAAUUGGUUCCGCUUUCUCUUGUCCUUAUUAGCUUUAACUGUGAACUUGACACAGCCUAGAGCCACCUGCAAAGGGAGUCCCAAUUUAAGUAUUGAUCAAAUUAGAUUGGCCUAUGACAUGUCCAUGGGGCAUUGAUUGAUUUUUAACUGGUGCAAGAGAGUCCAGCCCAUUGUGGUCAGCACCACCCAGAAGCAGAUAGUCCUGAGCUAUAUAAGAAAGCUAUCAAAAUUUGAGACUGUAAACUAGUCAGCAAGCAUGAGCCUUCAACCAAACUAGCAAGAGGCAUUUCUCUGUGGAUUCUGCUUCAUAUCCCUGCUUGAGUUUCUGCCCUGACUCCCCUCAAUGAUGGGCUAUAACCUAGAAGUGUAAGCUUGCUUGGUCAUGGUAUUUGUCACAGGAACAGGGAAGAAACUAGGACUCUUUCCCAUUCCCUUUGUCUCCCUAGCUGGUCUUCUAUACCACCCCAGAACUUCUCCAAUAAAAGACUCAUCAAACGUUUAUCAGUAUUUACUGUAAACAGAAUCUCACACUUUGCUAAGGAUAUCUCAAAUAAUGCAUGCCCUGGCUUCUGAAACUUUCUGGGUUUAUAUUCAGGCUGGGUAAUGGGCCAGAAGAGGAAGAAUAUGGGUGUUCCAGGGGUUGUAGGGAGGCAAAAACCUUGGCCGGCCACCUGCAGGGCAUGUCUUUCCUGUCAUUUUUCUGUCUAAUAAGAACCGUGUAGCUUUUGUCUUACCCACAAACCACCUCUGUACUUUCAAGUAGAAAAAAAAAAAAGAUACUGAGAAUGAAACCCAUCAUAGACUUUUCACUAGCAAAUAUGGAUGCGACCUUGGCAAGGCCUCCCUCAUUCAUUCCAUUCUCCUUACCUUCCUAGGGAGGCUUUGGGUCACACCAUUCCUUCCUCAGCCUUUUCCCAGGAACUUUGCAUUCAUGCUUGGUGCUUUCGCUUCUACCACUCAUUUUUCAACGAGCUCUGCCUCGUGGUUGAAGACAAGCUUGCCCCACACUGUGUCCAAUCUCAUACCCUCUCACCUUUCUCCCACCCACUCUUUUGCCUCCAAAGUCUCAGGAGUGAACUCCCUUCUUCUCACUCUUCUUUCUCCCUGUCCAUUAGUCAGAUCUCUGCAGACUGGUGCCAUAUUGACUAUUCACUCUUCAUAAUUUAUUUUUUCUGGGUCUCCAUCUUAAUGCUAAUCUCUUGGUUUUACUUCUAUACUUUUCUUCCUCCCUCCCUUUUCCUUCUAUCCUUUCCCACACCUCCUUCCCUCUUUUUCUCUAAACACCCUCUAUCUGACCAUUAAACACUGGAAAUCUUG